GUGGGUCGUAAACCUCUUUUCUCAGGGAAGAAGUACUGACGGUACCUGAGGAAUCAGCAUCGGCUAACUCCGUGCCAGCAGCCGCGGUAAGACGGAGGAUGCAAGCGUUAUCCGGAAUUAUUGGGCGUAAAGCGUCCGUAGGUGGUUUCGAAAGUCUGUUGUUAAAGCUCACAGCUCAACUGUGAAUCGGCAAUGGAAACUGCGAGACUAGAGUGUGGUAGGGGUAGAGGGAAUUCCUAGUGUAGCGGUGAAAUGCGUAGAUAUUAGGAAGAACACCAGUGGCGAAGGCGCUCUACUGGGCCAUAACUGACACUGAUGGACGAAAGCUAGGGGAGCGAAAGGGAUUAGAUACCCCUGUAGUCCUAGCUGUAAACGAUGGACACUAGGUGUUGGCCGUAUCGACCCGGUCAGUAUCGAAGCAAACGCGUUAAGUGUCCCGCCUGGGGAGUACGCACGCAAGUGUGAAACUCAAAGGAAUUGACGGGGGCCCGCACAAGCGGUGGAGUAUGUGGUUUAAUUCGAUGCAACGCGAAGAACCUUACCAGGGUUUGACAUCCUACGAACUUCUGAGAGAUCAGUUGGUGCCUUCGGGAGCGUAGAGACAGGUGGUGCAUGGCUGUCGUCAGCUCGUGUCGUG
rnacentral:rRNA from 1 species